rnacentral:rRNA from 1 species
AACGUAGGGGGCGAGCGUUGUCCGGAAUUACUGGGCGUAAAGGGCGUGUAGGCGGCUAGGUAAGUCAGGUGUGAAAACUUUUGGCUCAACCAGGAGACUGCACUUGAAACUGCGUAGCUUGAGGGUAGGAGAGGAAAGUGGAAUUCCUAGUGUAGCGGUGAAAUGCGUAGAUAUUAGGAGGAACACCAGUGGCGAAGGCGACUUUCUGGCCUAACCCUGACGCUGAGGCGCGAAAGCGUGGGGAGCAAACAGGAUUAGAUACCCUGGUAGUCCACGCCGUAAACGAUGGGUACUAGGUGUAGGAGGUAUCGACCCCUUCUGUGCCGCAGCAAACGCAUUAAGUACCCCGCCUGGGGAGUACGGCCGCAAGGCUGAAACUCAAAGGAAUUGACGGGGGCCCGCACAAGCGGUGGAGCAUGUGGUUUAAUUCGACGCAACGCGAAGAACCUUACCGGGUCUUGACAUCCCCUGAAAUAGGUGAAAGCCGAAAUAGACUUUGGUCACAGGGAGACAGGUGGUGCAUGGUU